UAGCAAGUUUUAUAGCAUCUGAGUCGC
rnacentral:piRNA from 1 species